UGCCGUGCCAUAAUCUGUGCUGUCCAUUUCCAUCGCCAUCUGCAUCUGUUUAUGUGUAUUCAAAAACAUUUCAAGUGCCCAACCAAUAAACAAAGCAAAUCAUAAUAUACACACGAAUAUAUACUUGGUAGAAGCCCAAACUAAAUUCGGCAAGAAAUCAAAAAUCAAAAUUGUGUUGCUUUCCAUAUUCGUAUGCUGGCAGCUGAGCAUAUAUUAUGUACAAACAAGUAAAAGUGCACUAAGCGAGAGUGCUGAACUAGCUGAUACCCUGUACACAGAGGACAUCCUGUGCAUGGCUUGGAAAUACCCUUUAGGCCAGUUCAAAAUAUGUUGGGUAUUUAGUCGGCGUAUUUUAUAAGUGGGCCAACAGAUUUGUGCGUGUAAACAAUUCACAAUGAUGACGUUACGGCUCGUUCAACGCUAUCUACGUCGAGUAUUUUGCGUGUACACCUUUGCCAAGGGCACACCCUCGCCCUGGAACGCCUUAUCAUUCAAUUAAGAGUAGCUGAGUAGCUCGAAGACCCUCCGGCUACUUAGUCAGAGUUCUAGUUUUUAUGCUUAUCGCAGCCAAAGCCGUAAACUUUAUGCGGCUAUUGCGGCUUGUGUAUUACACAUUUCUCGCAUAUUGUUUAAUUAAUUCGCUGCUCGGUCCACUACGGGCUACUGUGGCGCUUAGUGGGACAGCGUCAACGCGGCGUAUAAUAGAUAUCAUAAAAAUUGCAUUACAGCGCCGCGCACUCAUUAAGGGAAUACCAAUGAAAUCGUCACAUAAACUAUAAUUGGCAGCGUGCCUUAAAGUCUGUGUCCCAGACAAGCUGCAAUAGUAGUUAUUACGGCAGAUAACGAAUUUAAGUGAGACUAGCAAAGCAUUAUAGAACUAACACAUGUCCGAAUAGCAGAUGCUGAUAAAUAAUGAACAGUUAAUGGGAUCAACUUGAUUGGAAAUCUAUUUGAGCCUAACGAAUGCCAUUCGCCAAAGGAAAACCAUUAAAUACUCUUGCAAAAGGUAUUAAGGUUGAUGUAUCCAUCAUUAAAUCAAUAACUCUGCUUGCAUCGGCAACAGCUUGAAACAUUUACAAUUUUUUCGAUUUCAAACUGUCAGAAAUUGUGAUGUCUGUUAAAAAUCGAGUUGCCAGAUGCUUGAAAAAAAUGCACUAAUGAUAAAAAAUAGUACUACGGUCACACUCUCUCUCUGUUAAUAAAAUCUACGAAAGAUUUAUAUCAAAAACCUAUUCAAUUGAAUUGCCGCAGAUAAAGAAUAAUUUAAGAAUGUGCCUGAAAAGCUGAUUCCUUUCAGCAAAAGCAUAUCAACUAAAUUGAAACUAAAUCUUUCAUUAGAGCAGCCAGAGAUUAAUAUUGUAGACAGUUAUAUUAAGCAUAGCUAGACGAUUGUAAAGUAACUCUCAUCUUUUUGCAAUAUUAUUAAGUUAAGUUAAGUUUUUUCAAACAAGAUUCGACCCAUUGCCAAGAUAUAUCCAUUACAGUUCUAUGCAAAAAAUUGACUUUAGAUACAAAAUUUAGUGAGAUCUUUAAGCAAAACACAGUCAUUAUCAGUUCAUUUUUAUAUUAAACUCAAUUUUACCUAUAACUAAAAAGAUGAACCACAAUUAUUUUACAACUCAAUAUAAAUUGUUGAAGAAGGGAAAAAGCUCCUGAAUCGUAAUCAAGGUGUUAAUAUGAAUGU